GUCACAGUUCGGAUUGAAGGCUGAAAUUCGCCUUCAUGAAGCCGGAAUUGCUAGUAAUGGCAGGUCAGAAUACUGCCGUGAAUACGUUCCCGGGCCUUGUACACACCGCCCGUCACACCAUGAGAGUUGGGAAUACCCGAAGCCCGUGAGCUAACCGAAAGGGAGCAGCGGUCGAAGGUAGAAUCAAUGAGUUGGGGUGAAGUCGUAACAAGGUAAC
rnacentral:rRNA from 1 species